AGCGAACGCUGGCGGCAGGCUUAACACAUGCAAGUCGAACGCCCGCAAGGGGAGUGGCAGACGGGUGAGUAACACGUGGGAACGUACCCUUUGGUUCGGAAUAACUUGGGGAAACUCAAGCUAAUACCGGAUACGCCCUUAUGGGGAAAGGUUUACUGCCGAAGGAUCGGCCCGCGUCUGAUUAGCUAGUUGGUGAGGUAAUGGCUCACCAAGGCGACGAUCAGUAGUUGGUCUGAGAGGAUGAUCAGCCACACUGGGACUGAGACACGGCCCAGACUCCUACGGGAGGCAGCAGUGGGGAAUAUUGGACAAUGGGGGCAACCCUGAUCCAGCCAUGCCGCGUGAGUGAUGAAGGCCUUAGGGUUGUAAAGCUCUUUUACCCGGGACGAUAAUGACUGUACCGGGAGAAUAAGCCCCGGCUAACUUCGUGCCAGCCGCCGCGGUAA
rnacentral:rRNA from 1 species